rnacentral:rRNA from 1 species
UACGAAGGGGGCUAGCGUUGCUCGGAAUUACUGGGCGUAAAGCGCACGUAGGCGGCUUACUAAGUCAGGGGUGAAAUCCUGGAGCUCAACUCCAGAACUGCCUUUGAUACUGGUGAGCUUGAGUCCGGGAGAGGUGAGUGGAACUGCGAGUGUAGAGGUGAAAUUCGUAGAUAUUCGCAAGAACACCAGUGGCGAAGGCGGCUCACUGGCCCGGUACUGACGCUGAGGAGCGAAAGCGUGGGGAGCGAACAGG